rnacentral:rRNA from 1 species
UACGUAGGGGGCUAGCGUUGUCCGGAAUCAUUGGGCGUAAAGAGCGUGUAGGCGGUCCGGUAAGUCCGCUGUGAAAGUCGGGGGCUCAACCCUCGAAUGCCGGUGGAUACUGUCGGGCUAGAGUACGGAAGAGGCGAGUGGAAUUCCUGGUGUAGCGGUGAAAUGCGCAGAUAUCAGGAGGAACACCAGCGGCGAAGGCGGCGCUCUGGGCCGGUACUGACGCUGAGGAGCGAAAGCGUGGGGAGCAAACAGG